GAUGAACGCUGACAGAAUGCUUAACACAUGCAAGUCUACUUGAAUUUGGGUUUUUUAACUUAGAUUUGGGUGGCGGACGGGUGAGUAACGCGUAAAGAACUUGCCUCACAGCUAGGGACAACAUUUGGAAACGAAUGCUAAUACCUGAUAUUAUGAUUAUAAGGCAUCUUAGAAUUAUGAAAGCUAUAUGCGCUGUGAGAGAGCUUUGCGUCCCAUUAGCUAGUUGGAGAGGUAACGGCUCACCAAGGCGAUGAUGGGUAGCCGGCCUGAGAGGGUGAACGGCCACAAGGGGACUGAGACACGGCCCUUACUCCUACGGGAGGCAGCAGUGGGGAAUAUUGGACAAUGGACCAAGAGUCUGAUCCAGCAAUUCUGUGUGCACGAUGACGUUUUUCGGAAUGUAAAGUGCUUUCAGUUGGGAAGAAAAAAAUGACGGUACCAACAGAAGAAGUGACGGCUAAAUACGUGCCAGCAGCCGCGGUAAUACGUAUGUCACGAGCGUUAUCCGGAUUUAUUGGGCGUAAAGCGCGUCUAGGUGGUUAUGUAAGUCUGAUGUGAAAAUGCAGGGCUCAACUCUGUAUUGCGUUGGAAACUGUGUAACUAGAGUACUGGAGAGGUAAGCGGAACUACAAGUGUAGAGGUGAAAUUCGUAGAUAUUUGUAGGAAUGCCGAUGGGGAAGCCAGCUUACUGGACAGAUACUGACGCUGAAGCGCGAAAGCGUGGGUAGCAAACAGG
rnacentral:rRNA from 1 species